AUUGAACGCUGGCGGCAGGCCUAACACAUGCAAGUCGAGCGGAACGGCGAACGGGUGAGUAAUGCCGGGUAAUCUACCUGUGAGUGAGGGAUAACGUCCGGAAACGGGCGCUAAUACCGCAUACUAUCAGAUGAGCCUAGGUCGGAUUAGCUAGUUGGUGGGGUAAAGGCCUACCAAGGCGACGAUCCGUACCUGGUCUGAGAGGAGGAUCAGUCACACUGGAACUGAGACACGGUCCAGACUCCUACGGGAGGCAGCAGUGGGGAAUAUUGGACAAUGGGCGAAAGCCUGAUCCAGCCAUGCCGCGUGUGUGAAGAAGGUCUUCGGAUUGGAAAGCACUUUAAGUUGGGAGGCGUUACCAACAGAAUAAGCAACGGCUAACUUCGUGCCAGCAGCCGCGGUAAUAC
rnacentral:rRNA from 1 species